rnacentral:rRNA from 1 species
ACUCCUACGGGAGGCAGCAGUGGGAAUAUUGCACAAUGGGGGAAAGCCCAUCGAUGCAGCCAUGCCGCGUGUGUGAAGAAGGCCUUCGGGCUUGGUUAAAGACACUUUUCAGUAGGGAGGAAGGUAGUGUAGUUAACACCUGCAUUAUUUGACGUUACCUACAGAAGAAGCACCGGCUAACUCCGUGCCAGCAGCCGCGGUAAUACGGAGGGUGCGAGCGUUAAUCGGAAUUACUGGGCGUAAAGCGCAUGCAGGCGGCCUGUUAAGUCAGAUGUGAAAGCCCGGGGCUUAACCUCGGAAUUGCAUUUGAAACUGGCAGGCUAGAGUCUUGUAGAGGGGGUGAGAAUUGAUCAGGUGUAGCGGUGAAAUGCGUAGAGAUCUGAAGG